UACAUGUGGGGCAAGCGUUGUUCGGAAUUACUGGGCAUAAAGGGUGUGUAGGCGGCCUGUUAAGUUCCGUGUGAAAUCUCCCGGCUCAACCGGGAGGGUGCGCGGAAAACUGGCGGGCUAGAGUGCGGGAUGGGAGAGUAGAAUUCCUGGUGUAGCGGUGAAAUGCGUAGAUAUCAGGAGGAAUACCGGUGGUGUAGACGGCUCUCUGGACCGCAACUGACGCUGAAACACGAAAGCGUGGGUAGCAAACAGG
rnacentral:rRNA from 1 species